rnacentral:lncRNA from 1 species
CAGACUUCUAUUGCAAUCUAACUGCUAGAAGCAGAGCCCAUCCUCCUUACAACCAUAGAUCAAAACAUGUUUGCUUAAGUUUUUAGCUGUCUCUAUGGCUGCAAGCUCAAAACAGCUUUGGCAAAUUCCAAAGCUUAGUCAAAGUAAAUUGUUACUUCUCUGAGAAAGAAGAGGAAAACUAAUGUGGGAAAUGAAGAGGAAAAAAGCAUGCAUGGAAUGAAAAGGAAAAUGCAUCUAAAAAGAGAAGAGAAGGAGCGAUGCAUAAAGUGGAAUGCUGUGCAGGAAAUCUCUGAUCUUUGGCUGGCAUACCAUAAGACCUUACGGCACAUAGAAACUUAACAGUGAAAAUAAAAAGGCAGCAAUGAGAUGCUGAACAAGACACAGCCACCAGAUUUGGUUUAUUUUGUAUAUAUUUAUGUGCAUACAUCAAUAUGAGAUAAAUAAGGUGCCAGAAGUGGACCUUACCACAGAAGCAUGCCUGUCUUAAGUCCACAGAGCAGCAAGAGAGUUCCUACCCUCAGGUACUUGGAAAUAUUAUAAUUAUAAAUAAAUAUUGUAAAGGACUGCAACUUUCAAUCUAUAGCAGUAUCUAUACUCUCCAGUUUCUAGAUCCAUCAGAGGAUCAUUGGAAAUAGAAAUUUCAAGGCUUAAAAAUUCUAGCGGACUGUAUCAUGUAAUACUUGCUAUUCUUUUCCCUCAGAUCUUGACCUCAACAGGAUGUUUUGCACUGCAGUUUCCCCCCUCUUCCUCCUAUGCAUACUCCUCUGACAGCAUAAAAAACUAAAUCUACUUCCCUUCCUCUUCACUUUUUUUACAUAUGAAAAAUACCCAGUG